GGGUUACAUAUCGAUGAAUUCUGAUACCCGAUUACCCAUCGGAUUUGGACUCAAUAUUUAUGAGAGAUUUAAUUAGUGAUUUGAUCACUAAUUAACUCAAUUUGAUUGAGUAAUUAUUUUUAGAUCAAGUCCAAUUGAAUUGGAUUCAGUUGGGUUUGACCCGAUUAGGUUAAGAGUUGACCUAAUCGUCGAGAUGGUUUGGUCCCUGAUAUGAUCAGGGGUUGGGCUUAAUAAAUUUCUGAUUUGAUUAGAAUUUUAUUGAGCCUAAUUAAGCCUAAUUAAGUUGGAUUUAAAUUAGUCUA
rnacentral:lncRNA from 1 species